UUUCCUUUCCUUUUCUUUCCUUCUCUUUAAAUCACAGGCAUAAAACCUGGAAAUCUUAAACACUGCUCUGUAAAUGUUUAACAAUCACCUGCCACAUGCGCCCCCAUGGAUUUGAGGAUGUGGGCAUAUUUGCAUAGUGGAGGCUAGAGAUUGAUGUGGUUGUCUUCCACCAUUGAUCUUUACCUUAUCUUUUGAGACAAGUCUCUCACUGAAUCAGGAACUUACAGGUUGGGUAGACUGGCUAAUCAGUGGCAAUCCGUUUUUCUGUCAUGUCUGUUGCCCAUCUUCACCCCAACCCCAAGCUGCAGAUAUGACAAUACCAUUUGCCUUCUUUCUUGUGGUUUGCCUAUCAAGUAAUCCCCUGAAGAACAAGUAAAUUAUGGAUGUUAUCCAGGAUACUGAGAAGAAAGGUCAGAGAGCUCCAAGAAUUUAGGUUUGUACCCGUAGCAUAUGUGUGAAAGCCAUGAAUGGCUGUGCAUUUAUUUUUCAUACUGCUUUUUGCUAACAUUGUAGUCUUGAUUUUUUUUUUUUAAAGAUGGUCAUGAAGGAGUUACUGAGAAAAUAGUGUAAAAUAAGCAGCACUCUCUUAAAUAGUGAGAUCUGUGAGUUUGAGUGUAUAGUAUUGUGUUGGUGAUAGAAAUGUAAUGUGAGCAAUAUAAAUAAUUUUAGUAUACUUAAUAGCAUGUAUUAUUUUAUUUACCUUCUUUAAAAAUACCAGUAUUUCAACAUGUAAUCAAUACAAAAGUUUUAGAUACUUGAUUUGUUUUCCUACUGUGAUUUUAGAAUUCCAUAUGCAUUUUAUACCUAGUGUACAUCUCAAUUUGGACUAUACGUAUCUGGCAGUCAGUAUCUACUGUGCCAAGUUAGAGCUGUAGAAUAUCAAAUGCUAGGCAGUUUUACAGAUUUUUAAUCAGUAUUUUGAAAACCCAGUAUCAAGCUAAAAUUAAUAUCUGAUGUCAAUUGCUUCCC
rnacentral:lncRNA from 1 species